rnacentral:rRNA from 1 species
UACGUAGGGACCAAGCGUUGUUCGGAUUUACUGGGCGUAAAGGGCGCGUAGGCGGCAAUUCAAGUCAGCUGUGAAAUCUCCGAGCUUAACUCGGAACGGUCAGCUGAUACUGCUUUGCUAGAGUGCAGAAAGGGCAAUCGGAAUUCUUGGUGUAGCGGUGAAAUGCGUAGAUAUCAGGAGGAACACCGGUGGCGAAGGCGGGUCUCUGGAACGCAACUGACGCUGAGACGCGAAAGCGUGGGGAGCAAACAGG